rnacentral:lncRNA from 1 species
GACUUAAUCUCAGCCCAUUGGCUUAAUCAAAUUAAGCCAAUUAGUAAUCAAAUUGCUAAUCGAUCCUCCUGCAACACUUGCACUAGGUUAAAUGUCAAUCGUAUUGAUCAUUUAACCCUAGAACGAUUCUUAAUCAUUGAUCAACCAUCCGAUCGGAUCAUGAACUCUAAUGUGUGUGACCUCAUAGGUCUGAACCUAAGCCGGUAGUAUAGAAAUAAAUUUCUGUACCAAUCGAAGUGACCAUCUAGCAAUGGUACCCGACGACCGGAUAGGUCGAAUGUGUAGAACAACAUCCUUAGAACCCAUGCGGAUAUAGUUUCCAUAUAAUUCAUCCCCUUGACCAAAAUGAUCAUAGGACAUCUCAGAGUUCAACUGUCAACUUUGAUCAGGUUGUCCACAUUGUAUUUCAAAAUAUCAAAUCCAUCUGAUGGAUUACCCUGGCCA